rnacentral:rRNA from 1 species
GGAUGAACGCUAGCGGUGUGCUUAAAGCAUGCAAGUCGAACGUGAUCCUUGGAUUCGUUCAAGGUGAAAGUGGCGAACGGGUGAGUAACGCGUUGGUGAUCUGCCCCGGAGUGGGGGAUAACUAUCGGAAACGAUAGCUAAUACCCCAGAUGUUAUCGUGUUUGGAAAGCGAUAACUGAAGUUCAGGCGCUCCGGGAGGAGCCUGCGUCCCAUCAGCUAGUUGGUAGGGUAAUGGCCUACCAAGGCUCAGACGGGUAGGGGGCGUGAGAGCGUGACCCCCCACACUGGUACUGACACACGGACCAGAUGCCUACGGGUAGCAGCAGCUAGGAAUAUUGGGCAAUGGGCGAAAGCCUGACCCAGCAACGCCGCGUGUGCGAAGAAGGCCUUCGGGUCGUAAAGCACUUUUUGAGAGGAUGAGGAAGGACGGUACUCUCAGAAUAAGUCUCGGCUAACUACGUGCCAGCAGCCGCGGUAACACGUAGGAGGCAAACGUUAUCCGGAUUUACUGGGCGUAAAGCGCGUGUAGGUGGUUUGGUAAGUAGGGCGUGAAAGCUCCUGGCUCAACUGGGAGAGGACGUUCUAAACUGCCAAGCUUGAGGAUGGUAGAGGGAGGUGGAAUUCCGGGUGUAGCGGUGGAAUGCGCAGAUAUCCGGAGGAACACCAGUGGCGAAGGCGGCCUCCUGGACCACUCCUGACACUCAGACGCGAAAGCUAGGGUAGCAAACGGGAUUAGAGACCCCGGUAGUCCUAGCCCUAAACGAUGUAGACUUGGCGUCGGUGGUUUAAUCGCCAUCGGUGUCGUAGCUAACGCGAUAAGUCUACCGCCUGGGGACUACGGCCGCAAGGUUAAAACUCAAAGGAAUUGACGGGUCCCCGCACAAGCAGCGGAGCGUGUGGUUUAAUUCGAUGCUACACGAAGAACCUUACCUGGGUUUGACAUAGAGGUAGUAGGGAAGCGAAAGCGGACCGACCCUUCGGGGAGCCUCUACAGGUGUUGCAUGGCUGUCGUCAGCUCGUGUCGUGAGAUGUUCGGUUAAGUCCGCUAACGAGCGCAACCCUCGCUGUGUGUUACAAGUGUCACACGGUACUGCCGAUAUUAAGUCGGAGGAAGGUGGGGAUGACGUCAAGUCAGCAUGACCUUUAUAUCCAGGGCUACACACACGCUACAAUGGCCAGUACAAUGGGUUGCCAAGCUGCGAGGCGGAGCCAAUCCUAAAAAGCUGGCCUCAGUUCAGAUUGCAGUCUGCAACUCGACUGCAUGAAGUUGGAGUUGCUAGUAACCGCAGGUCAGCAAUACUGCGGUGAAUACGUUCCCGGGGAU